GGGUUGUGAGGUUAAGCGACUAAGCGUACACGGUGGAUGCCCUGGCAGUCAGAGGCGAUGAAGGACGUGCUAAUCUGCGAUAAGCGUCGGUAAGGUGAUAUGAACCGUUAUAACCGGCGAUUUCCGAAUGGGGAAACCCAGUGUGUUUCGACACACUAUCAUUAACUGAAUCCAUAGGUUAAUGAGGCGAACCGGGGGAACUGAAACAUCUAAGUACCCCGAGGAAAAGAAAUCAACCGAGAUUCCCCCAGUAGCGGCGAGCGAACGGGGAGGAGCCCAGAGCCUGAAUCAGUGUGUGUGUUAGUGGAAGCGUCUGGAAAGGCGCGCGAUACAGGGUGACAGCCCCGUACACAAAAAUGCACAUGCUGUGAGCUCGAUGAGUAGGGCGGGACACGUGGUAUCCUGUCUGAAUAUGGGGGGACCAUCCUCCAAGGCUAAAUACUCCUGACUGACCGAUAGUGAACCAGUACCGUGAGGGAAAGGCGAAAAGAACCCCGGCGAGGGGAGUGAAAAAGAACCUGAAACCGUGUACGUACAAGCAGUGGGAGCCUCUUUAUGGGGUGACUGCGUACCUUUUGUAUAAUGGGUCAGCGACUUAUAUUCUGUAGCAAGGUUAACCGAAUAGGGGAGCCG
rnacentral:rRNA from 1 species